UCUCUUAAUCGUUUUGUAUUUUUUUCCCUUUAAUUUUCAGCCUCGUUUCCUCUCUCUCAUUUGUUUCAUAACCCUAACCCAACCCGUCUUUGAAAGAGACGCUAAGACCUAACGACGUGGAAACGAAGGCGAUGUGACUCCGCAGCUAGGCGAGGGGAGGCGGCAGCAAGGCAGGGAAGGCGACGACCGACAAGAAUCUUAUAGCAACAGGGCUAUGUAACCACUUUGUUCUCUGCAGGGUACUACUUGUCAUAUGGCUACCAUACAUUUUCUGCUGCUAUAGUUCUUUACUACAAAAGGGAGAUUAUUUUGCUUUGUUUGGAUGCUGGGAGGGUCAUCUUAUGCUAGGAGUGAAAAAUUACUUGGUUAUUUU